GGUAAAAUAUUACGCUCCAGGUUAUCUUUGAAGAGUGAAGACACUAUUAUCUCCUUAUAUUUCUUCUUUAUCGACUUCCCACUAAUGUUUUUGACCACGUGUAGACAAAUGUGAAAUACCCUGACUUCAAGCAUAAAGAGACUGGUGAAGCACUGUGGAUGACCAAUUCUCCUAUUUGGGUACUGUCAAAGUUACCACCUCUAAAGAAGAACCAAGAAAGACCUCUCAUGUCCAAUACAGUCCCGCAGCUUGAGCUUGACGUUGUAGUACCUAAUGGAAAUCUGACACAGCUUAAAAGUAAGUUCCUCUUUUAGCAAGUAUUAGGCCGGUAUGUGGCAUUUGUAAUGGUCUCGUUUUUCUAAAGCGAGCUGUUAUGAGAUGUAGGAGAGGAAUCUUGGAAGAACUUGGUUGAGAACCCGAGUAAAUGGUGGGAUAACAGAUUAGACAAGGUACCAUAUCAUCUUUGAAGACACUAUUCUCUUUCCAUUUCUCCUCUUAAGUUCAAUUUCGAAUUUCCCAAUGAUGUUUUUGAACCAUGUGUAGAGAAACCCGAAAGCCCCUGACUUCAAGCAUAAGGAGACCGGUGAAGUACUGUGGAUAAAUAACAAUUCUCCGACUUGGGCACUGUCAAAGUUACCACCUCUAAAGAAGAACCAAGAAAGACCUGUCAUGGCCUAGUUUGUCUCUCGUAGCCUUAUGUUGAUUUUUGCCACCCAC
rnacentral:lncRNA from 1 species